rnacentral:rRNA from 1 species
CAUAUAUUAAAAUUGCUGCAGUUAAAAAGCUCGUAGUUGGAUUUCUGUGAGACUUGUUUUGUUCGGCCUGCGGGUCGGGCGAAUCACUUUUCACAUCCUUCUGUUAACCUUACACUCCUUCACCGGUGUGUCUGUGGGCUCAGAUACUUUACCUUGAGUAAAUUAGAGUGUUUCAGGCAAGCUUUCGCUUGAAUACAUUAGCAUGGAAUAAUAGAAAAGGACUUCGUUUCAUUUCAUUGGUUAUGAGCGGAGUAAUGAUUAAUAGGGAUAGUUGGGGGCAUUAGUACUUAAUUGUCAGAGGUGAAAUUCUUUGAUUUGUUAAAGACUAUCUGAUGCGAAAGCGUUUGCCAAGAAUGUUUUCAUUAAUCAAGAACGAAAGUUAGGGGAUCAAAGACGAUCAGAUACCGUCCUAGUCUUAACUAUAAACUAUGCCGACUUGGGAUUGGAGGCGUGCACUUUCCGCCUUCAGCACCAAACGAGAAAUCAAAGUCUUUUGGGUUCUGGGGGG